UAAUCAUAUGCAUUAUUUAAUAAUUAAUGCUCAAUGUAAACAUAAAAAAUCAGGGUAAUAAACAUGUAUGUUGAAUCCACACCACUUGAUUUUUUAUUUUUUAUUUUUCUAAUUGCCUAUUAUUCACAUACAAGUACCUUUUGGUCUAAGCCAUGUUCACAGCGUAUAUUAGAAUCUUUUGAAAAGCAGUAGCAUUUAAACUUUUGAAGUCUAUAAUUCUGCAUAACCGUCUACCUAUAUCUACCACACCCCUCUAAUGAACACUAAUUCUUCCUUAAUCUAAUUCUCAUGUAAGUUAAGUAAUGGAUCAUAAGAUCUUAAUUGUUGAAAUUACCAUUAAGUAUGAUAAAAAUAAUUUAACUGUUAAAUAAAAGAUCAAUGGUUGAAAACACUCAUACAACUAUUUUAAAUAUUUUGAGUAUUAGCACCAAUAAAAACAACUUGAUGAAUGGCCUGAUCUACCAGAUUUUAACAAAAAGAGUGUCCCCAUCUAACUAUAUACAUUACUACCGCAUUGGCAUCAUAGAGUCAACAAUAACUGAGCCUUCUUUCCUGGUCAUAUUCAGCAGUAGUUGAGUCAUGUUUUAGACCAUGGUUAGACCCUAAGCUAAUGUAAGAUUGGUAAGCCUCCAAGUGCAAAGUUUGCAUGGUAACUCACCGACGUUACUUACAGGAAAGCUGGAAAUGUACACGACAUUUUUUUUUUAUAUAGUUUAAUUGGACACAUUUAAAAUGUUGGUUAUUGGUGGGAUGCACUUGAAUCGAGCUGAUUUUAAGAAGCCUCUUGUCUUUCUUUCUUUCUUUUUAUUUAUCUAAAAUUCUGUGUAGUGAUGCUUUCAAGAGACUAGUAAAAGCACCAAUAAGAAUCUGUGGUGAUCGACAGAUCGAAAGAAUUCAUUCGUCUCCGACAGUUAAGUUCUUAAAAAAAAAAAAAAAAAAAUCUGCUCUGUAUUUGAUUUUCCUGAUCUGUUAUUUCAUCUGCUUGUUUUGCUUUGAUCCAUCUCGUUUCAUCUAGAAAAAAUAGAUUUUUUCCAUUGUUUUGAUGGAUUCAUGUGAAUUUCACUUCGGUUAAUUUUCACCAUACAACUUGUUUUUGUAUGUUAUGUAACAAGGAACAGAAGGUUUGAGAGAAUGUUAGCCUCGCAUGACGUGUCUGACUCCCACCAUCAGAAGCAAUCUUCCUUGGUUAUGGUUUCUCAAAGGCAUCAGUCCUGUGGCGAUAUUGAAGAAUGUAGCUCAAGUGACAAGAUAUUCUGACCAAAACCAGCAGCAAUCUUCUAAGAUACAGCAACACUCCUCAAUAUAAAAUGCAUCAAUAAGAAGACAGGAGAGUAGUACAUGGAAGGGCCCAAGGUUGAAAAGUACAAGGAGAUGCUGAUGAAGAAAACUCAAGAUCAGGGCGCCCAGUUUAUUUCUUAUGACCCAGUCAAAGGGGAGUGGAAGUUCAAGGUUGAUCACUUCAGCCGGUAUGAAUUCUGCAAGAUUGAGGAUUCAUGUGCAUGCUUCUUUUCAAAUUGCAACUUAUGUUUGUGUAGCAUUUCAGAUUGCAAGAAAUAAGACCGUUUUUGCACACUGAAGUAGAUAAAA